UACGAAGGGGGCUAGCGUUGCUCGGAAUCACUGGGCGUCAAGGGUGCGUAGGCGGGUCUUUAAGUCAGGGGUGAAAUCCUGGAGCUCAACUCCAGAACUGCCUUUGAUACUGAAGAUCUUGAGUUCGGGAGAGGUGAGUGGAACUGCGAGUGUAGAGGUGAAAUUCGUAGAUAUUCGCAAGAACACCAGUGGCGAAGGCGGCUCACUGGCCCGAUACUGACGCUGAGGCACGAAAGAGUGGGGAGCAAACAGG
rnacentral:rRNA from 1 species